AGCUCCAAUAGCGUAUAUUAAAGUUGUUGCAGUUAAAAAGCUCGUAGUUGAAUUUCUGCUGUGUCGACCUUGCGUUGCCUUGCAAUAGCUCGUGUUGAAGCAGCAUUCUUCACUGGGUCCUCACGGACUCGAUGGAGGCUUUACUUUGAGAAAAAUAGAGUGUUUCAAGCAGGCUGUGCCUUGAAUACUGCAGCAUGGAAUAAUGAAAUAAACCUGCAUUCUUGUUUCGUUGGUUCUGAAGAAUGAGUGAUGAUUAAUAGGGAUGGUUGGGGGUAUUUGUAUUCCACUGUCAGAGGUGAAAUUCUUAGAUUUGUGGGGGACAGACAACUGCGAAAGCAUCUACCAAGGACAUUCCCA
rnacentral:rRNA from 1 species